rnacentral:ncRNA from 1 species
CGGACGGGACGGCCCGUUCGAUCGAUCGAACACGGGGACGGCCCC